CUUCUUUGCUGGCGACCGGCGCACGGGUGAGUACACGUAUCCAACCUGCCUUUACUCGGGGAUAGCCUUUCGAAAGAAAGAUUAAUACCCGAUAGUAUAAUGAUUCCGCAUGGUUUCAUUAUUAAAGGAUUCCGGUAAAGGAUGGGGAUGCGUUCCAUUAGGUUGUUGGUGAGGUAACGGCUCACCAAGCCUUCGAUGGAUAGGGGUUCUGAGAGGAAGGUCCCCCACAUUGGAACUGAGACACGGUCCAA
rnacentral:rRNA from 1 species